GUCCUUUUGAAUUUAAUAUAAGGUCUGACCUGCCCAGUGAUAAUUUCAACGGCCGCGGUAUAUUGACCGUGCAAAGGUAGCAUAAUCAUUAGUCUUUUAAUAGAGGGCUGGAAUGAAAGGUUUAACGAGGAACUGACUGUCUCAUUUUAUUUGUUUUAAAAUUUAAUUUUUUAGUUAAAAAGCUAAAAUUUUAUUGGUAGACGAGAAGACCCUAUAGAGCUUUACAUUUAAUUAAUUAAAUAUUUUUAUAUUAAUAUUUUUAUUUGAUUUUAUGUUUUGUUGGGGUGACAAAAAUAUAUAUAUAACUUUUUUAUAUUAUUUACAUUGAUUUAUGAAUAUUAGAUCCAUUAUUAUUGAUUAUUAGAUUAAGUUACCUUAGGGAUAACAGCGUAAUCCUCCCCCAGAGUUCAUAUUUACGGGAUGGGCUUGCGACCUCGAUGUUGGAUUAAGAUAAUAAUUAGGUGUAGCCGCUUAAUUAAUAGGUCUGUUCGACCUUUAAAUUCUU
rnacentral:rRNA from 1 species